rnacentral:rRNA from 1 species
AGUGGCGGACGGGUGAGUAACGCGUGAGGAACCUGCCUUUCAGAGGGGGACAACAGUUGGAAACGACUGCUAAUACCGCAUAACGCAUAGGUAUCGCAUGGUACUUAUGCCAAAGAUUUAUCGCUGAAAGAUGGCCUCGCGUCUGAUUAGCUGGUUGGCGAGGUAACGGCCCACCAAGGCGACGAUCAGUAGCCGGACUGAGAGGUUGACCGGCCACAUUGGGACUGAGAUACGGCCCAGACUCCUACGGGAGGCAGCAGUGGGGAAUAUUGGGCAAUGGGCGCAAGCCUGACCCAGCAACGCCGCGUGAAGGAAGAAGGCUUUCGGGUUGUAAACUUCUUUUGGCAGGGAAGAGGAGAAGACGGUACCUGCCGAAUAAGCCACGGCUAACUACGUGCCAGCAGCCGCGGUAAUACGUACGUGGCAAGCGUUGUCCGGAUUUACU